GACGAACGCUGGCGGCGUGCCUAAUACAUGCAAGUCGAGCGGACGGAUGGGAGCUUGCUCCCAGACCGUCAGCGGCGGACGGGUGAGUAACACGUGGGCAACCUGCCUGUAAGACUGGGAUAACUCCGGGAAACCGGGGCUAAUACCGGAUAACUCUUUCCCUCACAUGAGGGAAAGCUGAAAGAUGGCAUCUCGCUAUCACUUACAGAUGGGCCCGCGGCGCAUUAGCUAGUUGGUGAGGUAACGGCUCACCAAGGCGACGAUGCGUAGCCGACCAGAGGGUGAUCGGCCACACUGGGACUGAGACACGGCCCAGACUCCUACGGGAGGCAGCAGUAGGGAAUCUUCCGCAAUGGACGAAAGUCUGACGGAGCAACGCCGCGUGAGUGAUGAAGGUUUUCGGAUCGUAAAACUCUGUUGUCAGGGAAGAACAAGUACCGGAGUAACUGCCGGUACCUUGACGGUACCUGACCAGAAAGCCACGGCUAACUACGUG
rnacentral:rRNA from 1 species